rnacentral:rRNA from 1 species
GACGAACGCUGGCGGCGUGCUUAACACAUGCAAGUCGAACGGGUCUGCCCUGUUUUUUGCGGGGUGGGUCAGUGGCGAACGGGUGAGUAACACGUGAGUAACCUGCCCCUCACUUCUGGAUAACCGCUUGAAAGGGUGGCUAAUACGGGGUGUUCUGGCUGUGCCGCAUGGUGUGGCUGGGAAAGAUUCACUUUUGUGGUGUUUUGGUGGGGGAUGGGCUCGCGGCCUAUCAGCUUGUUGGUGGGGUGAUGGCCUGCCAAGGCUUUGACGGGUAGCCGGCAUGAGAGGGUGGGCGGUCACACUGGGACUGAGAUACGGCCCAGACUCCUGCGGGAGGCAGCAGUGGGGGGUAUUGCACAAUGGGCGGAAGCCUGAUGCAGCGACGUCGCGUGAGGGAUGGAGGCCUUCGGGUUGUGAACCUCUUUCGCCGGUGAAGAAGGUCCUGCUCUUUGGGGUGGGGUUGACGGUAGCCGGGUUAUGAAGCGCCGGCUAACUACGUG